GUUGUAUAGUCAAGUAAUUAAGUGCAUGUGGUGGAUGCCUUGGCAGUCAGAGGCGAUGAAAGACGUGAUAGCCUGCGAAAAGCUCCGGGGAGGCGGCAAAUAUCCUUUGAUCCGGAGAUGUCUGAAUGGGGGAACCCACCUACUUUAAGGUAGGUAUUGCAACAUGAAUACAUAGUGUUGCAAGGCGAACGAGGGGAAGUGAAACAUCUCAGUACCCUUAGGAAAAGAAAUCAAUUGAGAUUCCCUCAGUAGCGGCGAGCGAACGGGGAUCAGCCCAUUAAGUUAUGUGUGUUUUAGUGGAACGCUCUGGGAAGUGCGAACGUAGAGGGUGAUAUUCCCGUACACGAAAGGGCACACAUAAUGAUGACGAGUAGGGCGAGGCACGUGAAACCUUGUCUGAAUAUGGGGGGACCAUCCUCCAAGGCUAAAUACUCCUGACUGACCGAUAGUGAACCAGUACCGUGAGGGAAAGGCGAAAAGAACCCCUGUGAGGGGAGUGAAAUAGAUCCUGAAACCGCAUGCAUACAAGCAGUGGGAGCACCUUCGUGGUGUGACUGCGUACCUUUUGUAUAAUGGGUCAGCGACUUAUAUUCAGUAGCGAGGUUAACCGUAUAGGGGAGCCGUAGAGAAAUCGAGUCUUAAUAGGGCGUUUAGUUGCUGGGUAUAGACCCGAAACCAGGCGAUCUAUCCAUGAGCAGGUUGAAGGUUGGGUAACACUAACUGGAGGACCGAACCCACUGUCGUUGAAAAGCCAGGGGAUGACUUGUGGAUAGGGGUGAAAGGCUAAUCAAGCCUGGUGAUAGCUGGUUCUCCCCGAAAGCUAUUUAGGUAGCGCCUCGGACGAAUACCAUAGGGGGUAGAGCACUGUUUCGGCUAGGGGGUCAUCCCGACUUACCAAACCGAUGCAAACUCCGAAUACCUAUGAGUACUAUCCGGGAGACAGACUGCGGGUGCUAACGUCCGUAGUCAAGAGGAAAACAAUCCAGACCGCCAGCUAAGGCCCCAAAAUCAUAGUUAAGUGGGAAACGAUGUGGGAAGGCAUAGACAGCUAGGAGGUUGGCUUAGAAGCAGCCACCCUUUAAAGAAAGCGUAAUAGCUCACUAGUCGAGUCGGCCUGCGCGGAAGAUGUAACGGGGCUAAAACUAUGUGCCGAAGCUGCGGAUGUAUACUUUGUAUACGUGGUAGGGGAGCGUUCUGUAAGCCGAUGAAGGUGUGUUGAGAAGCAUGCUGGAGGUAUCAGAAGUGCGAAUGCUGACGUGAGUAACGACAAAACGGGUGAAAAACCCGUUCGCCGAAAGACCAAGGGUUCCAGUCCAACGUUAAUCGGGGCUGGGUGAGUCGACCCCUAAGGCGAGGCCGAAAGGCGUAGUCGAUGGGAAAAUGGUUAAUAUUCCAUUACUUCUGUGUAAUGCGAUGAGAGGACGGAGAAGGCUAAAUCAGCCUGGCGUUGGUUGUCCAGGUGAAAGGAUGUAGGCAUGUAUCUUAGGCAAAUCCGGGGUACUCUAUGCUGAGAUCUGAUAGCAAGCUGUACUUGUACAGCGAAGUGGUUGAUGCCAUGCUUCCAGGAAAAGUCUCUAAGCUUCAGUUACACAGGAAUCGUACCCGAAACCGACACAGGUGGUCAGGUCGAGUAGACCAAGGCGCUUGAGAGAACUCUGCUGAAGGAACUAGGCAAAAUGGUACCGUAACUUCGGGAGAAGGUACGCUGUUGUUGGUGAUGGAACUCGCUUCCUGAGCUGACGACAGCCGCAGAAACCAGGCCGCUGCAACUGUUUAUUAAAAACAUAGCACUCUGCAAACACGAAAGUGGACGUAUAGGGUGUGAUGCCUGCCCGGUGCUGGAAGGUUAAUUGAUGGGGUUAGCGUAAGCGAAGCUCUUGAUCGAAGCCCCAGUAAACGGCGGCCGUAACUAUAACGGUCCUAAGGUAGCGAAAUUCCUUGUCGGGUAAGUUCCGACCUGCACGAAUGGCAUAAUGAUGGCGGCGCUGUCUCCAGCAGAGGCUCAGUGAAAUCGAAAUCGCUGUGAAGAUGCAGUGUACCCGCGGCUAGACGGAAAGACCCCGUGAACCUUUACUGCAGCUUGACACUGAACUUUGACCUUACUUGUGUAGGAUAGGUGGGAGGCUUUGAAGCUGGAACGCUAGUUCCAGUGGAGCCGUCCUUGAAAUACCACCCUGGUAAUGUUGAGGUUCUAACUCUGUCCCGUGAUCCGGGACGAGGACCGUGUCUGGUGGGUAGUUUGACUGGGGCGGUCUCCUCCUAAAGAGUAACGGAGGAGUACGAAGGUGCGCUCAGCGUGGUCGGAAAUCACGCGUAGAGUAUAAAGGCAAAAGCGCGCUUAACUGCGAGACCCAACAAGUCGAGCAGGUACGAAAGUAGGUCUUAGUGAUCCGGUGGUUCUGUAUGGAAGGGCCAUCGCUCAACGGAUAAAAGGUACUCUGGGGAUAACAGGCUGAUACCGCCCAAGAGUUCAUAUCGACGGCGGUGUUUGGCACCUCGAUGUCGGCUCAUCUCAUCCUGGGGCUGAAGCAGGUCCCAAGGGUAUGGCUGUUCGCCAUUUAAAGAGGUACGCGAGCUGGGUUUAGAACGUCGUGAGACAGUUCGGUCCCUAUCUACCGUGGGCGCUGGAAAUUUGAGAGGAUCUGCUCCUAGUACGAGAGGACCAGAGUGGACGAACCUCUGGUGUACCGGUUGUGACGCCAGUCGCAUCGCCGGGUAGCUAUGUUCGGAAGGGAUAACCGCUGAAAGCAUCUAAGCGGGAAGCCUACCUCAAGAUAAGAUUUCCCUAGGACUUUAUGUCCUCUAAAGAGCCGUUCGAGACUAGGACGUUGAUAGGUUGGAUGUGGAAGCAUAGUGAUAUGUGAAGCUGACCAAUACUAAUUGCUCGUGAGGCUUGACUAUACAACACCCAAGCAGUUG
rnacentral:rRNA from 1 species